rnacentral:rRNA from 1 species
GAUGAACGCUGGCGGCGUGCUUAACACAUGCAAGUCGAACGAUGAAGCCCAGCUUGCUGGGUGGAUUAGUGGCGAACGGGUGAGUAACACGUGAGUAACCUGCCCUUGACUCUGGGAUAAGCCCGGGAAACUGGGUCUAAUACCGGAUAGGAGCGCCUGUCGCAUGACGGGUGUUGGAAAGAUUUUUCGGUCAUGGAUGGACUCGCGGCCUAUCAGCUUGUUGGUGAGGUAAUGGCUCACCAAGGCGACGACGGGUAGCCGGCCUGAGAGGGUGACCGGCCACACUGGGACUGAGACACGGCCCAGACUCCUACGGGAGGCAGCAGUGGGGAAUAUUGCACAAUGGGCGGAAGCCUGAUGCAGCGACGCCGCGUGAGGGAUGACGGCCUUCGGGUUGUAAACCUCUUUCAGUAGGGAAGAAGCGAAAGUGUCGGUACCUGCAGAAGAAGCACCGGCUAACUACGUG